UACGGGGGGAGCAAGCGUUGUUCGGAUUUACUGGGCGUAAAGGGCGCGUAGGCGGUCGUGACAAGUCACUUGUGAAAUCUCCGGGCUUAACUCGGAAAGGUCAAGUGAUACUGUCGGACUAGAGUACAGAAGGGGCAACUGGAAUUCUCGGUGUAGCGGUGAAAUGCGCAGAUAUCAGGAAGAACACCUAUGGCGAAGGCAGCUCUCUGGGACGGUACUGACGCUGAGACGCGAAAGCGUGGGGAGCGAACAGG
rnacentral:rRNA from 1 species